AUUUAUUACACCGAGCUACCACAGCUAAUAUCGCUUUAUUUUUUAGGCUAGAAGAGGGCCAACACUAAAAGCAAUAAUGUUGUGAUAUGCCGUAACUAAAUCAAUGUUUUUAUUAAUUUUUUAGUUACCAGGGUUAACAAGGAAACGCGUUAGCCUCCCUACAUUUGGAAAGGUGAUAUGUUAAC
rnacentral:ncRNA from 1 species